rnacentral:rRNA from 1 species
GGUUGUUGGCGGGGUAACGGCCCACCAAGCCUUCGAUGGAUAGGGGUUCUGAGAGGAAGGUCCCCCACAUUGGAACUGAGACACGGUCCAAACUCCUACGGGAGGCAGCAGUGAGGAAUAUUGGUCAAUGGACGAGAGUCUGAACCAGCCAAGUAGCGUGAAGGAUGACUGCCCUAUGGGUUGUAAACUUCUUUUAUACGGGAAUAAAGUGAGGCACGCGUGCCUUUUUGUAUGUACCGUAUGAAUAAGGAUCGGCUAACUCCGUGCCAGCAGCCGCGGUAAUACGGAGGAUCCGAGCGUUAUCCGGAUUUAUUGGGUUUAAAGGGAGCGUAGGCGGACGCUUAAGUCAGUUGUGAAAGUUUGCGGCUCAACCGUAAAAUUGCAGUUGAUACUGGGUGUCUUGAGUACAGUAGAGGCAGGCGGAAUUCGUGGUGUAGCGGUGAAAUGCUUAGAUAUCACGAAGAACUCCGAUUGCGAAGGCAGCUUGCUGGACUGUAACUGACGCUGAUGCUCGAAAGUGUGGGUAUCAAACAGGAUUAGAUACCCUGGUAGUCCACACAGUAAACGAUGAAUACUCGCUGUUUGCGAUAUACAGUAAGCGGCCAAGCGAAAGCGUUAAGUAUUCCACCUGGGGAGU